GAUGAACGCUGGCGGCGUGCCUAAUACAUGCAAGUCGAGCGAACAGACGAGGAGCUUGCUCCUCUGACGUUAGCGACGGACGGGUGAGUAACACGUGGAUAACCUACUUCUUAUACUGGGGUAACUUCGGGAAACCGGAGAUAAUACCGGAUAAUAUAUUGAACCGCAUGGUUCAAUAGUGCAAGACGCUUUUGCUGUCACUUAUAGAUGGAUUCGCGUCGCAUUAGAUAGUUGGUAAGGUAACGGCUUACCAAGGCAACGAUGCGUAGCCGACCUGAGAGGGUGAUCGGCCACACUGGGACUGAGACACGGUCCAGACUCCUACGGGAGGCAGCAGUAGGGAAUCUUCCGCAAUGGGCGAAAGCCUGACGGAGCAACGCCGCGUGAGUGAUGAAGGUCUUCGGAUCGUAAAACUCUGUUAUUAGGGAAGAACAAAUGUGUAAGUAACUAUGCACGUCUUGACGGUACCUAAUCAGAAAGCCACGGCUAACUACGUG
rnacentral:rRNA from 1 species